UGCUGGGCUCAAACUGAGGGGAAAAGAAGCAGUUAUGAUAGUACAUCCCAGGAUAUUACACAGAAGCACAAUAAACACCUUUUUGGAUGUCCCAUUCUUCAGAUGCAGUCUAUAUGAACAUACUGGAAGACUAAAGACCCACUGCUGCAUUAUGAAUAUGGGUCUGAGCCUCAAAGAGAACUGUUAAACUGAUCCAGAGCCCUGCAGUCACCGGUAACUCUGUAAUCAUGCCUACCUAUGAGUUGGAGAAAGGGCAUCACAAAAUAUUAUGUUUCAGUGCAAAUGAAAGCCUUAAAAUCAAACUCAUUACUGAGAAUUUUCUACCUUUGCAUGCUAUACACCUCUCCCACAGUCUGCCAAACUUCUUGGUGCAACAGCAAUGUGGUAUAGGUUGCUUGCUUUAAAGAAAUACUGCUAACUCAGACAUGAAAUUUAACCUGUCAAGUUAAAGGGCUGAUUUAUUCGUAAAAGAACAAAGGUUAAAACUACUUCCAUGUUGAGGAGAACACCAUUUCAGAAUGAGUGCCAACACAGUUUAUUUUACAAAUAGAAGUGAAGAUGAUGGUGUUUAAGUAGUUUAUGUGAAAGCACGCUUGCUUGAUAAGCUGUGAAACUGCCAUUUACAAUCUUAAUGAAGAAAAGUCAUUGAUAUUCUGUAAGAACAGUUUGAUUUCUUAGGAGAAUUACAUCUUUUAUAAUCCAGAGCUUGGAGAAUUUAACUGAGUCUCCUUAAAUUAAGGUAUCAGAGACACAGAGAUAUACAGAAUAUGGUUCUACACAUCAUGGUAGAGUUGUGGCUUUAUGCAAUUCUAUUUAGACAUGUUAGCCUUUUCUUUAAUGUAGGUCAGUUAUAAAUCAUGCCUACUAGCAGGCACACUACAUAAAAUAGGAUUCAAGUGAACAUUUACAGGACAUUUAAGGGGAUCAUUAAAUUAAACAUGAAAAGUAUAAGUUCUUAUUGGUUUUCACCAGGAUUCCUAAUAGUUAAACAUUAAAACAAACAAACAAAAAGCACCACAGCUAAGGAUGUAAUUAUUGAUAGGUUUUUUAAAGCAGAGAACAAUCACAACAAAUGCAAAUGCAUUUUUUUUGCAGUACAUAAGUUUUCAAUGAAUAUGGUUUGUCAUCCUUUAGUUGUCCAAAAGCAUGUCUGAAUCAGAAGAAAAAACUCUUUUGUUUCAGGAAAGAGCAAAGACACA